rnacentral:misc_RNA from 1 species
UACACCGUCACGCCCCCGUCCUGUUGGAGAGGGUGUCGCUGUGCAAGGAAUCAGUGGAGAGAAAAACCCUAACCCUAACCCUAACCCUAACCCUAACCAGUACACCAGUACACCGUCACGCCCCCGUCCUGUUGGAGAGGGUGUCGCUGUGCAAGGAAUCAGUGGAGAGAAAAACCCUAACCCUAACCCUAACCCUAACCAGUACACCAGUACACCGUCACGCCCCCGUCCUGUUGGAGAGGGUGUCGCUGUGCAAGGAAUCAGUGGAGAGAAAAACCCUAACCCUAACCCUAACCCUAACCCUAACCCUAACCCUAACCCUAACCCUAACCCUAACCCUAACCCUAACCCUAACCCUAACCCUACCCUAACCCUAACCCUAACCCUAACCCUAACCCUAACCCUAACCCUAACCCUAACCCUAACCCUAACCCUAACCCUAACCCUAACCCUAACCCUAACCCUAACCCUAACCCUAACCCUACCCUAACCCUAACCCUAACCCUAACCCUAACCCUAACCCUAACCCUACCCUAACCCUAACCCUAACCCUCACCCUAACCCUAACCCUAACCCUAACCCUAACCCUAACCCUAACCCUAACCCUAACCCUAACCCUAACCCUAACCCUAACCCUACCCUAACCCUAACCCUAACCCUAACCCUAACCCUAACCCUAACCCUAACCAGUACACCAGUACACCGUCACGCCCCCGUCCUGUUGGAGAGGGUGUCGCUGUGCAAGGAAUCAGUGGAGAGAAAAACCCUAACCCUAACCCUAACCCUAACCCUAACCCUAACCCUAACCCUAACCCUAACCCUAACCCUAACCCUAACCAGUACACCAGUACACCAGUACACCAGUACACCAG